UGUGGAAUCUAAAGAAGAAAAAAAAAAUAGAAACAGACUCAUAGAUACAGAGAACAGACUGACAACUGUCAAAAGAGAAGGCAGCUGGUGAGCUGGGUGAAAAAGGUAAAACCCUACACAUUGGUAGUGACAGAAUAGUCAAAGAGAUGCACAUUACAGCAUAGGGAACACAGUCAAUAAUAUUGUGAUAAUUAUGUAUGGGUCCAGGUGGGUACUUGAAGCAAUGGGACAUGAUUUUCAAACUACGUUGCUGUACAUCAGAAACUAAUACAGAAUAACACUGCAUGUAAAAGGAAAAAAUAUCUGUCAGGGGUAGGUGCUUGGAUUACCUUCUAGCAGCAAUGUUCAACCCUUUUCAUUUCAUGGUACACAUAAAGUAAUUAUUAAAAUUCUGCAACACACCAAAAAAUAUACUUUUUGCAAAUGUGACCAAAAAAAUAGGUGUAAUUUUGAUCCAUUCACACUAACGGCUUUUGUUGUGUUGGCUGUUGUCAAUUUUUUAUUUGAAAAUCUAAAGAAAAGAGGUCAGUGUCCCUAACUAAACAGGUACUGAAUGUUUUAAAAGUUCUCAGUACACACUGGUUGAAAAUCGCUGCCUUAUACUCAAUAAAAGGGGAGUUCUGGAUGAGCCAAUAAUUAGCUCUAACCCUGGAGGAAUAAAGCAACUGGGUAGGAAUCCAGCAGAAUAGGAACAACCCUCUAUGUUCCUGAGACCUUCAAUUUAGGGACUUUCAGAUCCUGAAUCCCUAACAAAGGCCAUGGCAUCCAGUUCAUCUGACAGACAUCCAGAAAGUAGCAGCCUGGUCUAGAUGGCCUCUGGAAUUUGAGUCACAUGAGGUUAACAAAACUAUAAAAGGGAGGCACUCCCCCUCUACCAGUAAAAAUUUCUACCUUUCACUGAGGCUAUAAACUGGGGGUAAUCUCCCUUUAAUCUGAAAGACUCUCCUUUUGCCCUGGCCAGGUAGCUCAGUUGGUUAGAGUGUCAUCCUGAUGCAUUAUAGUUAUGAUUUUGAUCUCCAUUCAAGGGCACAUGCAAGAAGCAACCCAUGAAUGUAUGAAUGAGUGGAACAAGUCGAUGUUUCUAAAAAAAUCAAUAAAUAAACAUU